rnacentral:rRNA from 1 species
AACGAACGCUGGCGGCAGGCUUAACACAUGCAAGUCGAACGGAUGUAGCAAUACAUUAGUGGCGCACGGGAGAGUAACACGUGGGAACCUACCUUUUGGUUCGGGAUAACGUCGGGAAACUGACGCUAAUACCGGAUACGCCCUUCGGGGGAAAGAUUUAUCGCCAUUAGAUGGGCCCGCGUUAGAUUAGCUUGUUGGUGAGGUAACGGCUCACCAAGGCUACGAUCUAUAGCUGGUCUAAGAGGAUGAUCAGCCUCACUGGGACUGAGACACGGCCCAGACUCCUACGGGAGGCAGCAGUGGGGAAUAUUGGACAAUGGGGGCAACCCUGAUCCAGCCAUGCCGCGUGAAUGAUGAAGGCCUUCGGGUUGUAAAGUUCUUUUGGCGGGGACGAUGAUGACGGUACCCGCAGAAUAAGCUCCGGCUAACUUCGUGCCAGCCGCCGCGGUAAUAC